rnacentral:rRNA from 1 species
GACGAACGCUGGCGGCGUGCUUAACACAUGCAAGUCGAACGGAAAGGCCCUGCUUUUGUGGGGUGCUCGAGUGGCGAACGGGUGAGUAACACGUGAGUAACCUGUCCUUGACUUUGGGAUAACUUCAGGAAACUGGGGCUAAUACCGGAUAGGAGCUCCUGCUGCAUGGUGGGGGUUGGAAAGUUUCGGCGGUUGGGGAUGGACUCGCGGCUUAUCAGCUUGUUGGUGGGGUAGUGGCUUACCAAGGCUUUGACGGGUAGCCGGCCUGAGAGGGUGACCGGCCACAUUGGGACUGAGAUACGGCCCAGACUCCUACGGGAGGCAGGAGUGGGGAAUAGUGCACUAUGGGCGGAAGCCUGAUGCAGCAACGCCGCGUGCGGGGUGACGGCCUUCGGGUUGUAAACCGCUUUCGCCUGUGACGAAGCGUGAGUGACGGUAAUGGGUAAAGAAGCACCGGCUAACUACGUG